GUGUGCAAAAGGGCUGCUACAGCAGCAACAUUCCCCUCUGCAGCCCCCAAUUCACGCAAGGCAGCCACUUUACGCCUCCACCCAUCUAUAUCAGCCAACAACCCUUUGUUUCUCCCUUAGACACCAGAAAAUUGAGGGAAAGAGAUAGAGCUUGCAAAGCUUCUACCGGAACUUCGAAGAGUUCUUCUCCUGCUGAAAUCAACAAACAGCCUCAAACAUAUAACAUUUUACAAGGUCGAGAGCAAGAAUAAGAGCUCGUCAAGGAGUCAUUAAUCUGUAGUAAAGCUUUGCUAUCAGGUUGAGCAGUUGCCGAUGGUGAUGAAGUGACGAGCGGGUUUCUUUUGUCUUAUUAUGUAUUAAUGAACUCUAGGGAUACAUGUCUUCAUACAUGUAUUCAGAACCUUAUUCCGCUGCGUACUCAGAAGUUUUAUGUUAUUUUGGCUAAGUCGGAGUUAUCCGAACUUACUAGUUAUUUGAGUCUAUAUGACUAAACCUCCGUUAUAUUAUAAAUAUCCCUUUUGUUAACAAUAAUGAAA